GUGCAGCAGGCGCGAAUCCUUCGCAAUGCGCGAAAGCGCGACGAGGGGACUCCGAGUGCCUAUGCUCAGCAUAGGCUGUUCACCGGUGUAAAAGCCGGUGGAGGAAGGGGUGGACAAGACUGGUGCCAGCCGCCGCGGUAAUACCAGCGCCCCAAGUGGUGAUCGAUAUUAUUGGGUCUAAAACGUCCGUAGCCGGCCCGGUAAAUCUCCGGGUAAAUCGUCCAGCUUAACUGGUCGAAUUCUGGGGAGACUGCCGGGGCUUGGGACCGGGAGAGGUCGGAGGUACUCCAGGGGUAGGGGUGAAAUCCUGUAAUCCCUGGGGGACCACCGGUGGCGAAGGCGUCCGACUAGAACGGGUCCGACGGUAAGGGACGAAGGCUAGGGGAGCAAACGGGAUUAGAUACCCCUGUAGU
rnacentral:rRNA from 1 species